ensembl:lncRNA
AAAAAGCCUUUCUUUAGCUGGUUAUAUGAAGUCUGGAGAAUUUCUGGUUCGAUUAGUUUGUUUAGCGGACUUGUAGCUCUCUUCACGACAACACAGACACAGUGAUGGGUCUGAUCCUAUGACAACUGGGAUAGGCUCCGCCUGCGACCCUGAUAAGGACAGGCUGAAGAGAAUGGAUGGAUGGAAGUGACAGAGAACAAAACCAUGACAGCUGAACCUGGACAGGACAUCACUUUGACAUGUCGAGCUCCAAACAACAACAACAUUGUUGUUCUAGAGUGGAGCAGAGCUGACCUGGGAGAGAAAUAUGUGCUUCUGUUCCGGGAUGAGCUGUUUGAUUUAGAACAACAGCAUCCAUCUUUUAAGAACCGGGUGGAGCUGCAGGACAGACAGAUGAAGGAUGGAGACGUGUCUUUGAUUCUGAAGGAUGUGACGACUAAUGACACUGGAACAUACGAGUGUCGUGUUGUCCAGAGAGGAACUAAACGCAGGAAGAGAGCUGUUUUGAAAAAUGACCCCAUCAGCAUCGUCACCUUGAAAGUUGAUCCUCUAGGUCAGACAGGAGGAGACACAGAGGAUGGAGGGAAGAAUGGAUCUGCUGGACUGAUUGUCGGUCUGAGUGUUCCUGCUGUGCUUCUUGUUGCUGUUGUUGGUUUUUUGAUCUACAGAAAACAUAAACAACCACAGAGGCAGGAUUCAUACCAGCCUCCUGUUGAACUGCAGCCUGUUUGAAAUGUCAGCUUAACUGUGAUUCUUGUGCUUUGUUUUCAGUCGUGUCACUGAAAAUGUGGAAAGACAGAAGUCAGUAAUAUUAAACAUUUAGCAGGUAUCUGUCAGACAGGUCCAGAUUUUGCAUUUAAUUUACAUUUUUCAUCAGAAAAGAGGAGAAAGUUGUUUGGAAUAUAAACAGUAUUUGUCUGAUAUGACUCAGGAUCCUUUGAUCACAUGUUGCUGGUGUUUGACUCGUUUUAAAUGUAAUUAUAUUCAAAUGAAACCAAAGAAAAAAACAUUUCUAUGUAGCUGCAGAGUCCAACAUUUCCUCCCUUUGACCUGAAACGAUUCAGCUUUAUUGAACUUUACCUUCCAUGAAGGAGACUCUUCAGUCUGUUACUGUCCAGUUGUUACUUUCCUUUAAAUAUUUUCCUGACAAAGAUCCACAUGUGUUAGUACUUAAUGUGUAUGUUUUUUUUAUACCAACAUUUCCUGUGGCUGUACUUUUUUUGUUCUGUUUUCAAUCAGAAGCUCUGACUUCCUGAAACUGUUGAUGCAGAUUUUGUCACCUUGAAUUGAUCCAAAAUAAAUACAACCAUG